UUUGGUUCCAAAAUUUCCUUUAUUAUGAAAAAGUAAGUAUAAUGUUUAGACAUUAAUGUACAGAAAAUAAUUGUCAUAUAUAUUCCUUUAUAAUUUUCACACCUGUUUAUUUUAAAGUGUUAAUUCUACACAUUAAAAAACAUACUAAUGAGAUCCUGUUUGAAUAGGAAAUUGCUAAAUUUUACUUGCAACUUUUUGUAGCUAUAAUUCUAAUACACAUUGGGAUCUAAAACUAUUAGUAAACAGCAACAAUAGAGACUACGUAUUUUUUAAAUUGGGCAAAUGAAAGAAGAAUAUAUUGAGAUGUAAAUCAGGAAGUAGUUAUUUGCGUUACAAAUAUGCAGAUUAAUUAAUAACAUACACCCUUUAAAUACUAAAGCAUUUAAAAUAAGUUUAACAAAAAAGGCAAUUUACACUUUUUAAAACCCCAUCAGUUGUAUAAAGAGAGGCACUACUUUUAUCCACGAAAAGCAUCAAAAUUUUUUAACAGUUCAAAAAUAGGGGCCCAAAACAACUGAUUUAUCAGAAACAAAACAAUACAAUGGCUAUUCACAGUGUAAGAAAUUAAAUCUAUUUUUUAAAGCAUGUUUUUCAGUCUCAAUUUAUAACACACUUUGACUUCCAUUUCUGCUUUUCCUUAAAUCAAUCUGGACUGUGUGGAAGAAUGCCGUAACAUGAAGCUAUUAGCAAUCUGGGUUAAUGUUCUACAAAAAAAAUAUGCUGCCUAUAUACACAGAAAGUAAAUGAAGAAAAAAGUUAGCACUGAAGUACAAUGCAUACUCCUUAGGUUCUUAAACUCUACCAGUCUAACAGAAAGCACCAAGAUACAGAUGCCAAAGUCAGAAAAAAUACAAAGCAGCUCAGAAUCAAUAUCAUAUAUCUUAUUCAAGGUAAAUUUUAUGUUAGAUUCUUUGUCUGGCAUUUGGGAGGCUAAAUUAACUUAGGAGGCUAGAGAUCCCAUCUCUACUUUUUUUUUCUUUUUGAGAUGGAGUCUUGCUCUGUUGCCCAGGCUGGAGUGCAGCGGCAUGAUCUCGGCUCACCGCAAGCUCCGCCUCGCCGCUUGACGCCAUUCUCCUGCUUCAGCCUCGGAGUAGCUGGGACUACAGGCGCCCGCCACCCUGCCCGGCUAAUUUUUUGUAUUUUCAGUAGAGACGGGGUUGCAGCGAGCGGAGGUUGCAGUGAGCCAAGAUCGCGCCAUUGCAC
rnacentral:lncRNA from 10 species